GACACAUCAAUGUUCUCGGCAAGGCAACUAAUAUACAGCCUCAUCUGCAAGAUUACAAAGUAUUAGCAUCUGCCAAGAAAAAAAAGAAGAAAAAGUUGUGUACCAUCAACAGAAGUGGGUGAAACUAUUCAAGUUUGAGAAAAGGCAACUGGGAGGUUGCAAAUGUCCAACCAACGGCACGCUACAUCUGCUCCAAUUAAACAAAUUCAUUAAAGAUGCUAGAGCGCUGUCUACACAUAAAACAAGGCCACCUAUUUGUAGAAGCUGAUUCAAAAACUAAACUCUCAAACUUUUCCAAUGUUAUGUUAUUUUUUCAAAAGAGAUGCAACACAUAUGUUAUGUUAUUUUCCAAUCAUUAAAAAACUAGCUGGAGACUCCCUUAUUAUGAGCCA